rnacentral:rRNA from 1 species
GACGAACGCUGGCGGCGUGCUUAACACAUGCAAGUCGAACGGAAAGGCCCUGCUUUUGUGGGGUGCUCGAGUGGCGAACGGGUGAGUAACACGUGAGUAACCUGCCCUUGACUUUGGGAUAACUUCAGGAAACGGGGGCUAAUACCGGAUAGGAGCUCCUGCUGCAUGGUGGGGGUUGGAAAGUUUCGGCGGUUGGGGUUGGACUCGCGGCUUAUCAGCUUGUUGGUGGGGUAGUGGCUGACCAAGGCUUUGACGGGUAGCCGGCCUGAGAGGGUGACCGGCCACAUUAGGACUGAGGUACGGCCCAGCCUCCUACGGGAGGCAGCAGUGGGGAAUAUUGCACAAUGGGCGGAAGCCUGAUGCAGCAACGCCGCGUGCGGGAUGACGGCCUUCGGGUUGUAAACCGCUUUCGCCUGUGACGAAGCGUGAGUGACGGUAAUGGGUAAAGAAGCACCGGCUAACUACGUG